rnacentral:rRNA from 1 species
UACGAAGGGGCUAGCGUUGCUCGGAAUCACUGGGCGUAAAGGUGCGUAGGCGGGUCUUUAAGUCGAGGGUGAACUCCUGGAGCUCAACUCCAGAACUGCCUUGAUACUGAGGAUCUUGAGUUCGGGAGAGGUGAGUGGAACUGCGAGUGUAGAGGUGAAAUUCGUAGAUAUUCGCAAGAACACCAGUCGGCGAAGGCGGCUCACUGGCCCG